UACGUAGGGUGCAAGCGUUAUCCGGAAUUAUUGGGCGUAAAGAGCUCGUAGGCGGUUUGUCACGUCUGCUGUGAAAACUGGAGGCUCAACCUCCAGCCUGCAGUGGGUACGGGCAGACUAGAGUGCGGUAGGGGGAGAUUGGAAUUCCUGGUGUAGCGGUGGAAUGCGCAGAUAUCAGGAGGAACACCGGUGGCGAAGGCGGGUCUCUGGGCCGAUACUGACGUGAGGAGCGAAAGCGUGGGGGAGCAACAGGA
rnacentral:rRNA from 1 species